rnacentral:misc_RNA from 1 species
UUUCCGUAGGUGAACCUGCGGAAGGAUCAUUACAGUAGUCACCCGGGUUGCCGCAAGGCCUCUCGGGUAACCUACCACCCUUUGUUUAUUACACUUUGUUGCUUUGGCAGGCCUGCCUUCGGGCUGCUGGCUCCGGUCGGCGAGCGCUUGCCAGAGGAUCUAAACUCUGUUUGUCUAUACUGUCUGAGUACUAUAUAAUAGUUAAAACUUUCAACAACGGAUCUCUUGGUUCUG